rnacentral:rRNA from 1 species
UGCCAGCCGCCGCGGUAAUACGAAGGGGGCUAGCGUUGUUCGGAAUCAUUGGGUUUAAAGGGUCCGCAGGCGGAUGUAUAAGUCAGUGGUGAAAUCCUACAGCUUAACUGUAGAACUGCCAUUGAUACUGUACGUCUUGAAUUCGGUCGAAGUGGGCGGAAUGUGUAGUGUAGCGGUGAAAUGCAUAGAUAUUACACAGAACACCGAUAGCGAAGGCAGCUCACUAGGCCUGGAUUGACGCUCAGGGACGAAAGCGUGGGGAUCAAACAGGAUUAGAUA